rnacentral:tRNA from 1 species
UCUCUGGCAGUCCUGUGGUUAGGACUCUGCACUUUCACUGCCAAGGACCCAGGUUCAAUCCCUGGUCAGGGAA